UGCGAAUUGCUCAUUAAAUCAGUUAUAAUUUAUUUGAUAGUAAUAUAUUUAUUCAUAAGAAAGAAUAAAUUUUGUUAGAUGGAUAACUGUGGUAAAUCUAGAGCUAAUACAUGUUUAAAUAUACGUAAUGCGUAUGAAUAUAUUAGUUGAUAAAAGUAAAAUUAAACUAUACCUUAAAAAAUUAUAAGUUUGAUGAAUCAUAAUAUCUAAUCAGAUUACAAAAGGCUAACUCUUUGAGUUGGUGGUAACAAAUCAAUUAAAUUUCUGCCCUAUCAGCUUUGGAUUGUAAUAUAGAGGAUUACAAUGGCAAUAACGGGUACGGGGAAUUACGGUUCGAUUCCGGAGAGGGAGCCUGAGAAAUAGCUACCACUUCUAAGGUUGGCAGCAGGCGCGCAAAUUACCCAAUUCUAAUACAGAGAGGUAGUGACAAUAAAUAACAAUAUACAAAAGCAUAAUAAAUUAUAUUAUGUAGUAUAAUUGGAAUGAGAACAAUUUAAAAACUUUAUCGAGAAUCAAUUGGAGGGCAAGUCUGGUGCCAGCAGCCGCGGUAAUUCCAGCUCCAAUAGCGUAUACGGUCAGUGUUGCAGUUAAAAAGCUCGUAGUUGGAUAUAAAAGGAAACGUAUGAAAAAUUUUUAUUUUUCAUGUCGUUUUUUCCUUAAAUUGAUAUAAGUGACAUCUUUAUUGAUGGUUAAAUUGAAAUAUUUAACUCUUAACUCACUAUAUCUUUAUUACUUUGAAUAAAUUAGAGUGUUUAAAACAAAUAUUAAUUUUAACGUUUGUAUAGAUUAGCAUGGGAUAAUAAAAAAUGAUUUCUACAUUGGACUUUUUUCUUGUAUGGUUUAACUUGUAACGCACUUUGUAGAAAUAAUGAUUAAUAGGAAUGGUUGGGGGUAUUCGUAUUGAAAUGUCAGAGGUGAAAUUCAUGGAUUUUUUCAAGAGGAACAUCAGCGAAAGCAUUUAUCAAGGACGUUUCCAUUAAUCAAGAACGAAAGUUGGGGGAUCGAAGAUGAUCAGAUACCGUCGUAGUCUCAACCAUAAACUAUGUCGACCAAUGAUAUCAAGUUAAUUACACACACUGUUUGUUACUUGAUGAAAUUUAAGAGAAAUUAAGAGUAUUUAGAUUCUGGGGGGAGUACGGUCGCAAGGCUGAAACUUAAAGGAAUUGACGGAAGGGCACAACAAGAUGUGGAUUUUGCGGCUUAAUUCGACUCAACACGGGAAAACUUACCAGGUCCAGACAAUUUAAGGAUUGACAGAUUAAAGAUCUUUCUUGAUUGAUUGAUUAGUGGUGCAUGGCCGUUCUUAGUUCGUGGAGUGAUUUGUCUACUUAAUUGUGUUAACGAACGAGAUCAUAACUUAUUAAUUAGUAAAAAUAUAUACUUUUUUUUGUGUAUGUUUUAAACCUAUGGUUUUAUUUUACUUCUUAAAAGGACAUUUAAUAUUUAAAUUAAAGGAAGUUUAUGGCAAUAACAGGUCUGUGAUGCCCUUUAGAUGUUCUGGGCUGCACGCGCGAUACAAUGAAAAUUUCAAUAAGUUAUUAUUAUAUUUAAAAGCUAUAUUAGUUUUUGAAUUCUCCUUAAUAGAAAUAUUUGGGUAAACUUUUAAAUAAUUUUCGUGGUGGGGAUUAAUAAUUGUAAUUAUUUAUUAUGAACGAGGAAUAUCUAGUAAGUAUAAUCAUCAAAUUAUGCUGAUUACGUCCCUGCCCUUUGUACCCCCCCCCCGUCGCUCCUUCCGAUGAAUAAUUCGAUGAAAAUUUAGGGUUUUUAAUAACAAUUUAGUUUUUGAAUAAAAUUUAUUUAAAUCUCAGU
rnacentral:rRNA from 1 species